AUUGAACGCUGGCGGCAGGCUUAACACAUGCAAGUCGAACGAGUGGCGGACGGGUGAGUAAUGCUUGGGAAUCUAGCUUAUGGAGGGGGAUAACUACGGGAAACUGUAGCUAAUACCGCGUACCAUAGGAUGAGCCCAAGUGGGAUUAGGUAGUUGGUGGGGGAAAGGCUCACCCACCCGACGACCCGUAGCGGGUCUGAGAGGAUGACGAGCCAGACGGGAACGGAGACAUGGGCCAGACUCCUAGGGGAGGCAGCAGGGGGGAAUAGUGCACAAGGGGGGCAAGCGGGAUGCAGGCAUGCGGCGGGUAUGAAGAAGGGCGUCGGGUUGGAAAGUAAUGUGAGCGAGGAGGCGUUACUCGCAGAAGAAGCACCGGCUAACUCCGUGCCAGCAGCCGCGGUAAUAG
rnacentral:rRNA from 1 species